rnacentral:rRNA from 1 species
GAUGAACGCUGGCGGCGUGCCUAAUACAUGCAAGUCGAGCGAACAGACGAGGAGCUUGCUCCUCUGACGUUAGCGGUGGACGGGUGAGUAACACGUGGAUAACCUACCUAUAAGACUGGGAUAACUUCGGGAAACCGGAGCUAAUACCGGAUAACAUGUUGAACCGCAUGGUUCAACAGUGAAAGACGGUCUUGCUGUCACUUAUGGAUGGAUCCGCGCCGCAUUAGCUAGUUGGUAAGGUAACGGCUUACCAAGGCAACGAUGCGUAGCCGACCUGAGAGGGUGAUCGGCCACACUGGAACUGAGACACGGUCCAGACUCCUACUGGAGGCAGCAGUAGGGAAUCUUCCGCAAUGGGCGAAAGCCUGACGGAGCAACGCCGCGUGAGUGAAGAAGGUCUUCGGAUCGUAAAACUCUGUUAUUAGGGAAGAACAAAUGUGUAAGUAACUAUGCACGUCUUGACGGUACCUAAUCAGAAAGCCACGGCUAACUACGUGCCAGCCGCCGCGGUAAUAC